UACGGGGGGGGGCAAGCGUUGUUCGGAAUUACUGGGCGUAAAGGGCUCGUAGGCGGCCAACUAAGUCCGACGUGAAAUCCCAAGGCUUAACCUUGGAACUGCGUCGGAUACUGGAUGGCUUGAAUUCGGGAGAGGGAUGCAGAAUUCCAGGUGUAGCGGUGAAAUGCGUAGAUAUCUGGAGGAAUACCGGUGGCGAAGGCGGCAUCCUGGACCGACAUUGACGCUGAUGAGCGAAAGCGUGGGGAGCGAACAGG
rnacentral:rRNA from 1 species